UGAGUUUUAUAUAGAAGGAAAAGGGGGUGGGGGAGCAACCACACAUAUUAUCUGGCCAGGGAAACCCAAGUAUAUUCCCUGGCCUCAAGAGGAGUUUUAUGGGGUUCUGCAGAUGGCUGAGUGGCUAAAGUGCUUGCCUUCCAGUGAGAGGACUAAGAUCUCCAGAACCAACGUGAAAGUCAGACAGGCACGAUGACUACUUGUAAUCCCAGCAUUUGAAUGGCAGAGGUGAAGGACUGGAGGACCGCAGGGAAAGCUAGCCAGGAACUUGCUCAGCCCGCUGGGAUAAGGAGUGUUUCUUCCCACCACCACAGCUCUUGCUAUGAAGCCAAGGAGUGGCGACCUCUUGUCACUGGGCAUGGUUCCCCCAUGCCCAGGAGCUUGGAGCAUGGUGAGAAGUUCUGAGAAAGCCAGGAGCCCACAGCCCAAGUCAAUCAGAGUACUAUGGUAAGAGACACCACUUGGAA
rnacentral:lncRNA from 1 species